CCCAAUCAAACAAAAGAGAAAUUUCAGAGUAAGGCAAAACAGCUUGUUGAAAAAUCUGAGAUGGAAGAAUGAGCUCAUUGAAAAUGGAUUCCACUAUGAAAUCUGAAUUUCUAUUGUGUUUUCUUCUUUUCUCUACUUAUUUGAGCUAUGGGGUUGCGUCAAGUUCAUCUGCGACCACUACGAUGCAUACUAACAAUUGGGCUGUUUUGGUCUGCACUUCUCGUUUCUGGUUUAACUACAGACACAUGGCUAACACUUUGUCUUUAUACAGAACCGUAAAACGAUUAGGCAUACCUGAUGAAAGAAUUAUUCUGAUGUUGGCUGAUGAUAUGGCUUGCAAUACUCGAAAUAAAUACCCUGCACAGGUCUUCAACAAUGAAAAUCACAGGCUAAACCUUUAUGGAGAUAACGUUGAGGUUGAUUAUCGAGGUUAUGAAGUAACAGUUGAAAAUUUUCUGAGGGUGCUGACUGGACGUCAUGAAACAGCUGUCCCAAGAUCAAAACGUCUUCUUAGUGAUGAAGGAAGCCACAUACUUCUGUACAUGACAGGGCAUGGCGGAGACGAGUUUUUAAAAUUUCAGGAUUCAGAAGAACUUCAAAGUCAUGAUUUAGCUGAUGCAGUGAAACAAAUGAAAGAAAAGCGUAGAUUCAAGGAGCUGCUAAUAAUGGUUGACACUUGCCAAGCUGCUACUCUUUUCUCGCAGCUUCAAUCACCUGGCGUAUUGACAAUUGGGAGUAGCAUGAAAGGAGAAAAUUCAUACUCGCACCACUUGGAUGCUGAUGUUGGUGUCUCAGUUAUUGAUCGAUUCACAUUUUAUACUCUUGCAUUUUUUGAGAGGGUGAACAUGUAUGAUAAUGCCUCAUUGGGCAGUCUUUUCAGUUCAUAUAACCCAAAUACGCUGAUGUCGACUGCAUAUUAUCGAACAGAUCUAUACCCUCGCCGAUUAGAAGAGGUACCCGUGACAAACUUUUUUGGUUCAGUCAUGGAGACGAUACACACUGAUUCUGCAUAUAAAGCAUUCGCUGGCAAAGAUUCCAAGAAGUCCACAUUAGAGAUGCCUCUUCAGCAGUCCAGCCAAGACUUACGACGAACACUUGCAAGUUCAGAUGUUCAGUAUCCAACCAGUGACUCAAAUGUUGAGGAUCCACAAGAUUCCUGUCCUUUCACAAAUUUUUGGAUUUCUAUGCAUGGUAAGAUGAACAAGGUUGAGGGUCUUGAUAGCUGGGUGAACUAUGGCUUGUUUUUGAUGUUUCCAAUGGUGGCAAUGUCAUCUUGGAUCUCGUCUUGAAGCUUCUAACAUGACGGCAGUUGGUUAGCAGAUUCAGGCGGAGUGGUUAGCAUCCAACCUAUUAUGUUUGCAAAUUUCAGAAGUGGAGACAAGACAUCGAAUGGAUACUCUGAUGGAGCGCCAUGAUCCUGUGUUGUUUCAUUUCCAUGUUUGUCGAAAACAUUGGCCUGGUAGAAGCUGUUCUAUCUCACCAAAAAUACGCGAGCAACUAGUUGAGGCGCCACGCCACCCUUGCUCUGCAAAAUAGAAAUUGCAGAAACUCUUUGACAAAUAGUGCAAUGUAGAAAUUCUUCCUAAGUUCUCUGAUUUGGAAGACAUCAAAUAGUUGAGCUAUUAAUACUAUCCCAUUCCAUAUGGUUUGAUUUUUUACAUUCAGUUUAAGUUUUCCGCGACAUGUAAAUUGGUAACCAUAAUUUAUUCGACUUUAACUUACAUAUUAUACUCAUAUAAUAGAGAUAUGAUCUCAACUUUUCAA